rnacentral:lncRNA from 1 species
CGGCUUAGCACAUUUGCAUGUAUUUUCUUCACAAAAAUAAUUUGCGACUAAAAUAAUAUAAUUUGGUUCGGCCGUUCUUGUAUUGAGAAGAAACCUUUGACGGCCGACACUAUUCGGCCGCUUUUGUCUGUGAACUUUUGUAGUGCCCAAAUCACUAACAAGUUCUUUAUUUCUUUCAAUUUUUUUAUAUGGCCAUGAUACUAACAUGACCUUUAUUGGGAAAGUUGUUGGCCUACUUAUUUGGGUAGCG